UACGUAGGGGGCAAGCGUUGUCCGGAAUCAUUGGGCGUAAAGAGCGCGUAGGCGGUCCGGUAAGUCCGCUCUGAAAGUCCGGGGCUCAACCCCGGGAGGCGGGCGGAUACUGUCGGGCUAGAGUACGGAAGAGGCGAGUGGAAUUCCUGGUGUAGCGGUGGAAUGCGCAGAUAUCAGGAGGAACACCAAUAGCGAAGGCAGCUCGCUGGGACGUUACUGACACUGAGGCGCGAAAGCGUGGGGAGCGAACAGG
rnacentral:rRNA from 1 species